rnacentral:pre_miRNA from 1 species
CAUUUAUAACUUUCUCAAAAAAUAUUACCUUUCGGACUGAAAUUUUUCAUGCUUGGUUUCAGUCCAAAAGUGAAUUGGUUUUUGGAAAGUUUCAUG